rnacentral:rRNA from 1 species
AUUGAACGCUGGCGGCAUGCCUUACACAUGCAAGUCGAACGGCAGCGCGGGGCAACCUGGCGGCGAGUGGCGAACGGGUGAGUAAUAUAUCGGAACGUGCCCUGGAGUGGGGGAUAACGCAGCGAAAGUUGCGCUAAUACCGCAUACGAUCUAAGGAUGAAAGCAGGGGACCGCAAGGCCUUGUGCUCCUGGAGCGGCCGAUAUCUGAUUAGCAGUUGGUGGGGUAAAGGCCUACCAAGGCAUCGAUCAGUAGCUGGUCUGAGAGGACGACCAGCCACACUGGAACUGAGACACGGUCCAGACUCCUACGGGAGGCAGCAGUGGGGAAUUUUGGACAAUGGGCGCAAGCCUGAUCCAGCAAUGCCGCGUGAGUGAAGGAGGCCUUCGGUUGUAAG